UUACAUGUUAUCUCGCCUGGCCUUCAUGA
rnacentral:piRNA from 1 species